rnacentral:lncRNA from 1 species
UGUGAGAUAUGUCGGUAGCUAUGUCGGUAGCUACUUCAGGAUUCAUGGCAUGCCUCCAGAAGUACUUUGGAGAUUUGUAAGAGGCAGUAAGAAGCCAGCAGCAGCAUACGCAACAGCCCCGAAAAGCAGCAGCGCCUAAGGAUCAUUAUUUGGAACAACUUGUGGUGGCCCCAAUCAGCCCAAUCAGGUGCACCAAGGUGUGAAGCGCUGUGCAUGGGACUCAUGCAUUGUUGUGGCAGAUAGUGUUAAUCAACCGUUAAGUGCACUUCCCCCACGUGGGGUGAGAAAGGCGCUACGAGACUGUACAAGCCCUUGUCUGACACUAAAAAUAACAGCUUUAACUCCAAGCAUCCACUGUUUGGCGUGCUAAUUUUCAUAUCGAUGGUUUAAAUCCAAUAGGUUUCCAUGCCUAUU